rnacentral:lncRNA from 1 species
CAGUACAAAAGGAACUGAGGAACUCAAGUAACAGGAAUAAUGUGUUCUGGAGGACUAACACUGAUGAAGACUCAAGCCGCCGAGCUAACAACAUCAGGUCAUAAAACAUGCAGUAAUUGGAGGGUGCACUUUGGCAUCAAAACGGAGUGAAUAGCACAGCAAAGGCGGAAGUUGGUCCGACUAUGGAAUUACGUUUUCAGUAAUGCAGAAGCUAGCAGCAG